rnacentral:rRNA from 1 species
UACAGAGGGUGCAAGCGUUAAUCGGAAUUACUGGGCGUAAAGGGCGCGUAGGCGGUUCUGCAAGUCAGGCGUGAAAGCCCCGGGCUUAACCUGGGAAUGGCGCUUGAAACUACAGGACUGGAGUAUGGCAGAGGGAGGUGGAAUUCCACGUGUAGCGGUGAAAUGCGUAGAGAUGUGGAGGAACACCGAUGGCGAAGGCAGCCUCCUGGGCCAAUACUGACGCUCAUGCACGAAAGCGUGGGGAGCAAACAGG